rnacentral:rRNA from 1 species
GACGAACGCUGGCGGCGUGCCUAAUACAUGCAAGUCGAGCGCAGGAAGCCGACGGAACCCUUCGGGGGGAAGUCGACGGAAUGAGCGGCGGACGGGUGAGUAACACGUAAAGAACCUGCCCUCAGGUCUGGGAUAACCACGGGAAAUCGGGGCUAAUACCGGAUGGGUCAUCGGACCGCAUGGUCCGAGGAUGAAAGGCGCUCCGGCGUCGCCUGGGGAUGGCUUUGCGGUGCAUUAGCUAGUUGGUGGGGUAAUGGCCCACCAAGGCGACGAUGCAUAGCCGACCUGAGAGGGUGAUCGGCCACACUGGGACUGAGACACGGCCCAGACUCCUACGGGAGGCAGCAGUAGGGAAUCCUCCACAAUGGACGAAAGUCUGAUGGAGCAACGCCGCGUGAACGAUGAAGGCCUUCGGGUCGUAAAGUUCUGUUGUAAGGGAAGAACAAGUGCCGCAGGCAAUGGCGGCACCUUGACGGUACCUUGCGAGAAAGCCACGGCUAACUACGUGCCAGCCGCCGCAGUAAGAC